CGGGACGGGUGAGUAACGCGUGGGUAACCUGCCUCAUACAGGGGGAUAACAGUUAGAAAUGACUGCUAAUACCGCAUAAGCGCACGGGGAUGCAUAUCUUUGUGUGAAAAACUCCGGUGGUAUGAGAUGGACCCGCGUCUGAUUAGCUAGUUGGUGAGGUAACGGCUCACCAAGGCGACGAUCAGUAGCCGACCUGAGAGGGUGACCGGCCACAUUGGGACUGAGACACGGCCCAAACUCCUACGGAAGGCAGCAG
rnacentral:rRNA from 1 species